GGUAGGUGUAAUCCAUUUGAUUCAAAAACACAUUUUGCUGAGAAUGAAACUCCAGAGAGAGAAAGAGUAAGCUCGUGGACUUCAAGAAACAAAGAAAGAAGAAGAGAAAUUGAAGGGGAAAACUCAAGAAUUCAAGAUCUAGGUGAUCAGGCGCAUGACCUGGCUUAGGGGCGUCUGCCUGGAUUCUGUUUUUGUCAGCCAACCUAUGUGCCUCCCGUGGAGGUUUCGGAUAUGUCAAGUGGUUAUGGCUAUGUACAUAAAGUUCAAGUUUUGUUUUCUUGUUUUUGUUUAUUCUGUAUUUAGGGCCAAGUCCCUUUCUGUCUAGUCUCUCUCUAUAUAUAUGAUGAUGUGUAUAUGUAUGUAUAUAAAGUUUAAAAUUUUUCUGUCUCA